AAACUUUUAAUAAAUUACACAAACCAUGAUCUCAAGAAACGUUAUUUACAUUAUUUUAAUGCAAUUUCAAAUAAAUAUUAUUAAUGGAUUUUCUUUAAAAGAUUUGGCAGAAAAGUUUAUUACUUCCGCCAUUUUGAAUAUAAUAAAAGAAAGUUCUGGAAGUAACCAACAUCACGCUGGACAUCCUCUAAAUAUAAAAGAUGAAAUAAAUGAUCAAUUAUUCGGAAAAAAUGUAAAGAGUACAAUAAUCAAGAAAAUAAUACCACACGGAUAUGAUAUAGCGUCUUAUGGAUCCAAUUAUAGAUUCAAAAACUUAUAUCGGCCUUUACCGAGUAUUCUCAUGGAAAAGCUAAUAUCAGAAAAAAAUAUUCAAGAGCCAACUUAUAAAAUUAACCCGAAUAAAUAUAUAAUAUUAAUUAUUAGAAGCAAAGGAAGUUUAAAUGAAAAUUCAAAGAAACAAUUUUUAGACGCAGAUAAAAAUGUAUUCCAUACGGCAACGGAAAAAAAGUUAAAAGAUUUGUUCAAUAAAAUAGUAAAUAAAAGACAUUCUAGGAAAAUAUACACGAAAAGUGGAGAAAUACACGAUCCUUUAAUGCCUGGACAUUUAGUUGAAGUUGAAACAACCACGCCAUUGCCGAAAAAAUGGCUGCCUCACUACCCUUAUUGGAAUUAUUGGACGUACGACAAUACUCUACACGAUGACAACUGCCCAGAGGAUUUCCUUGAAAUGGACGGACAAUGUAUAGAAAUACCCCCGCAUUAAAACACAAUAGUUUUCUCAUUAUUUUAUUACCACAAUGUUUGCCUUAUAACUACAUAUGGUCGAAACGAUGCGAUGCUGUUAAACGGCUAAAAUUACACAAUUUUGAGUACUAUCGCAAAAAUAGACCAAUCAGAGUGAAGAAUGUAUGACACGCGCACUAAUGGCUAAUUUGAUUGGUCCAUUUCCGAGAUCUAUCCACAGUUAUGGCUUGAUAUCUUUUCUAGUUAAAAUAGUUUACACUACGAAAACUUAGAACGCUUCUAACAACUAUAUUUAUUUACCUUAAUUUUACUAAAAGAAAACAAACAUGGAAAUAAAUUUUUAUCCACUUCUUUAAACAAUUGAUUUUUAUUUUUGAUAAGGGCAUGACAAAGUGAACCUACAGCACUUGAUGGUAAGUGGAAUAUGGACAAAUAGAAUGUCGACUGACGAGAGAUGAUUACCCCUUUUCAACACAAUUAUGCCGGCCUGUUGGAACCGGAUAUACACAGACUGAUCCCGGAACGCGACACACGUGGGCCAGUAUGGCGGGUUAUAACACCUUGUGUGCGGUGGUCGCUAUCCGGGCGGAUAUAAAAUAUAUCCUACCACAAGCAAAAUUGAUAUUAGUAUUGAAAAGUGCGAUAUUAAAUCUUAUAUAAAAUAAUAGCAAGGCAUCGCUUGCACCAUAUAGGACAUUAGAGAGACGCAUAGAGAGCUAAGGAACGACACAGCCUCUAAUAAAAACAUAUUUGCUUAAAACCAAUGAUAUAUGAUAAAUAGAUAUUUUGUUUAUAACAUUAAUAAAUAUUAUCAGUGACUUAAUACUAUCAUAAACAAAUAUAAAAAAAGAGAAAAAAACAUACAUAUUCGCUUUUAAAAAAAUGGAAAUAAAUUUACGACAAUAACAAAAAGCUGGGCAAAAGUUUUUUAAAACUGCAGAAAUAUGGAAAAUAUUAUUCUAAAUUCGCUUGAAAUUACCGCCUUUCGAUAUUGGGUCUACUUAUGCGACAUAUAUACGAUUUUUUUCGAUAAAUAUAUCCAGGUAUAUUGAUAAACCCGGGUAAAGUUCUAAUAUAUCCGGGUCAGAUAAUAACAACAAACAAUAUAUUACAAUUCCAGAAACAUAAUAGGACAGUACAUUGUUAAUAAAAUAUAACCAUAAUAUUUUCACAGCAUUACUAAAAUUCUUCACAA